rnacentral:lncRNA from 1 species
AUGAAAUUGUUGGUGGCAACUCUUUUCCUUGUGACAAUGGUUCUAGGCGGGCCUUUGGGGUCUAUGUAUCCGGAAGGUCAAGUAGGGGACGAAAAGACUCGGGAGGUGCAACAACCAUUGGAGACGAUAGCUGUGGACAAAAUUGAUAAAACCGAAGACGUGGACCUUCUUAUCAAGUGCAAAAAGGAGUACAUUGAAGCUUGUUGCAAGGAUGGACACUACGUAGAUCCUUUGUACAUCCAAACCAAAAGAGGAUUCGAGAAAUGUUCAAGUUAUGGUGACUGUUGCACGAUCUAGGCGAAAGGAGACUUAGAAUAGUUUCAAUCAAAACCGAACAAUACUAGAAAAUGUUAAUUUAAUUAUUUUUGUGUGGCAUUUUUCUUAACAUCAAAAUAGGCAGAAACACUCGAUUUUUCUGCUGUUCAAGCUCAAUUCUUCUCCGUCAAAACUCAUGAUUUCAUUUGUUUGGUACGUUCCGUUUUGUAACGUACUUUGUAAAUAAAAUGAUUUAUACAAACCAUGUAAAAUACUAGACCGUCUGCUUAACUACAUCGUCAUUAUUACUAUAGCUCGACUUUAAAAGUUGUGUGUGAACUUUUAAGUGGAUUAGCAACUCCACCACCUUCGAGUUAGAUUGACUCCCUAACGAGAGUGUUCUAGAGUACCUGUAUACGGGAGAGUAUUGCCAUCUCUAUCCUUUUACUACAGGAAAAGUGUGCUGCUCUCUGAUUGGUCGGCUAUCGUGAAGCCCCAAAGUUGGAUCAAUGUAAACAAACCCCAGCCCCUACGCUCCUAGUUUGGCCGAGUGUAAACAAAAAGGAUGACGAAAAAGUUCUACAAAGUUCUAGACGUGAUUUGGGUGUGAUACACAUUUUUUUAUAUCCAACUUCUGAAUUAAGUUCGGAUCGAACUUCGAUGAAUAAAAUUGCCGAAAAUUAAGCUUUGAGUGUGAUUAUCAAUCAUUUCUCAGCCGAUAAUAAGUGUUCCUCUGGGUCGGGUUUGUUUACAUUGGUCCAACUUUAGAGCUUCAUGAUAGCCUGAAACUGAUAAACCAAUCAAAGAGCGGCAUAGAGAUGGCAAUACUCUCCCGUAUACAGGUACUCUAGGGUGUUCUCUACGUGUGGAAGAUUUGCGAUUUAGCCUACCAUCGCGGCAACGGCGCACGCACCUCGUCGCAUUCCCCCGUUAAUUUGUUCGGGGAAAAAAAGUGUUGAGAAGGUGAUAAUGGAGAGGCGGACCAGGCAGAGUUUGCAGGGCAUUUGCAUGCGCUGGAAAAAGGAGGUCGAGUUUGAGUUUUCACGGCGGAAACGGCGGCGAGACGCGGAGCGAGGGAGGGGGGGGGAGAAGAUUGAUUGAUUUAUCUUUUAAAUUGAGACCUACUCGCGGAAUGAAACACCUCUACUCUUCCUCGAGGCGAUUAGCGCCAGUCUCACAGAGCAGGAAAUUGAUUUUAUGAGAUCAGGAGAAUAUCCGAACGGGUUUGUAAUUAGUGUUCCGAUGUUUUGGUUUGAAGGUCCGGAAUGGGUUUUUGUUGAGACCAAGAAAAACUUCUGACUGUCAUACCGAUGGGACAGAGUGCCUUUGUAGACAGAGUAUGACCAUUCCUAGCUUUUUAGUGAGGGAAAGUUGUGCUGCUUUGUGACAGGGUGGAAAAAAUUCAUGAAAAAUAAAAUCUUGACAUUUCACGUGGAAUAUUUCAUGAAAUAAAAUCUUGAAAUUUCACGUGAAAUAUUCCAUGAAAUAUCAGAAAUUUACGGAAGAUAUUGAAAAUACCGGUUUCUUUCCAGGUUUCGCAAAAUGUAAAAUUUGGGACUUUCUUCUAUUUUUGUGUGUUUUAGUGCGGGUUGCAUAGUCUAGCCCCUGGAAAAUAUGAAAUAUAUCACAGCCUCGUGAAAUUUCAUAGAAUAAUUCACUGAAAUUUCCAAUCUUUCAGUUCUCUCUUACGUUUCAUGCCACCCGUUUCACCCUGCUUUGUGACUUGUCUACAAGCCUUAAGCUAUAAUAAUGCCCUUGGGGCCGUAAAUAAACAAACGCUCCCGUUAAUCGAUAUUAACCGGAAUAAAAGGGAGGAUAUCGAUCUCUGUUUAUUGAUCCUCUAUUUCUCGUCCGAUAUAAAACAGGAUAGACAGGGAUAAAAGGGGAUGUAUUUUCAUUAACCGGGAUAAAAGGGAGGAUAUCGAUCUCUGUUUAUUAUGAUCUUCUAAUUAUCGUCCGAUAUAAAACAGAAUGGACAGGGAUAAAACGGGAUGUAUUGAUAUUAACCGGGAUAAAAGGGAGGAUAUGGAUCUUUGUUCAUCGAUCUUCGAUAGAUCGUUCAACAUGAAACAGGAUAGACAGCGAUAAAACGGGAUAUAUUUUCAUUAACCGGAAUAAAAGGGAGGAUAUCGAUCUCUGUUUAUUGAUCUUCUAUUUAUCGUUCGAUAUAAAACAGGAUAGACAGGGAUAGAAGGGGAUGUAUUUUCAUUAACCGGGAUAAAAGGGAGGAUAUACCGAUCCCGUUCUAAUUAUCGUCCGAUAUUAAACAGGAUAGACAGGGAUAAAACGGGAUGCAUUGAUAUUAACCGGGAUAAGAGGGAGGAUACAGAUAUUUGUUCAUCGAUCUUCGAUAUAUCGUUCGAUAUAAUUUUCUAAAAAAAGGAGGAGAACCCAGAAUAACGUCAGGGUAAUGUGCGAUGUUGUGCCCACGUUCGGGGAGCAGACACCGCGGCGCGACCCGGAUCAAGGCUCUGGGAAAGUUGCAAGAGUCACGUUUUGAUGUCUUCCCACAUAAUAACGGAGCCACUUGCCUCCUCCGCCGACAGCCGUAACUCGCCCCCUUGUCCCGUAUGUCCCGUGCAUUGUGUGCAUGUU